UGCCUGGUAGUCUAGCGUAGAUGACGUGAAAUUGCAAAUUUUAAGAGGACUCUGUGUCCCAGGUAG
rnacentral:tRNA from 1 species